rnacentral:lncRNA from 1 species
CAAAACAAAGCGGGAUUAGCGUAGAAAGAAUGUGUAAAGAGAACUACAGAAAUGCGGGAUUUUACCAGCGAAGAAGUACCUGUAAACGAGUACAGAUCUCGGUGAUUUCAGGAAAUGGUGCCCAAUCACCAAAAUUUCGCUCAAUAAACUGGUAAGCGAUGCCACUCUUACCACUACCAACUAUAAAGAGUCCACCUUUAAUUUCACCCUCUCCUCUGAAGUUUUGUUCAAGUCUCAUAGCUUUGGCGCGCUUGUAAUUUGCAAUAGCUCGAGGAUUGAAAACAAAUCCUGAUAUGAACUUGUCCUUGAGAAGCUUCCCUCCUCCAAGAGCUUUAAAGAAAUCCAUAUUAUGGUCAAGGACUACAACACCACCCCAGUAACGAGGCCAAAAAUCUUGUACCUGAAACCAUACAAAAAGAAAAAGAAAUAGUUAAUAAAGCAUGGGGGGAGUAAGUCUUCGAUGGACGAUGAUGACUCCAUAAAUCUGUAACGGCUACAGAUAUGACCACAAGUUGAAUGUUAAAUACCUCAGAGUCUAUAUGUUCAUGAAGAACCGCAAUUAACUGAAUCCCUAAAGCAUCAAAAAGGGGUUUCCUAGAGUAGAGCUGAUGAGCUUCAGCUCUACACAUGAUACACCUGUCAACCCAUGUACGGAGCAGAUCAUUAACAAGAAUAAGCAGCAACCUCAAUGUAGUAAUGUACUAGUUGUUAAUAUAUACUUAAUACAAUUUGAAAUGGGGUUUCUGUAUUUCACUUUGAGUAUUACUUGCAGUGACAAUAUAUCUAUUUCAAUUUUGGAUCCUUAGUUCAACUAAGAGUAAGCUUUAGUAGCCUUAAAACUUAUACUUACUAACUCAAGUGUUUAGGGAGGUAUAUAUUAAUUUAAGUCUUUUCAGAGUCAGAUUAUCUUGAAAGAUAAAUGAAUAGAAAUGCUAACUUACUUGACCCAUGUGAUUCUACGGAAAAUAUUGCAAGUCGAAAAUUGCGUGAGAGAUAUAGCUCUAAUGAUUUUCAGGUACAACACGAAGCCAGAAACAAUAUGGACACAGGCAAAGUUCUUCAUUGUUUGCAUCUUAGUUAGUACUGUUAGGGAACCACUGUUUCCUUUUACUUACUGCAUGUAUGUAGCACUCUGUUAGACACACUAAAAUCCCAUAAAAAUCACAUUUCUCUCUCAUUUUGCAGCCUGCAGCUUCUCCCGGUAACCAAGCAGGUAAACACCAUGACUUUGGGCGUUACUACUUGACAUAGACAUACGAAUGCUGAUGUAUGUUAUAAAAUUUAUUUGAUCUUCUUAAGUAUGCCAAAGAACUAAACUAGAUGCAGUUAUGAGCUAUUAAAUUUACCCUG